CGUGAGGGAUGAAGGUCUUCGGAUUGUAAACCUCUUUCAGUAGGGAAGAAGCGAAAGUGACGGUACCUAAAGAAGAAGCACCGGCUAACUAUGUGCCAGCAGCCGUCGGUAAUACAUAGGGUGCAAGCGUUGUCCGGAAUUAUUGGGCGUAAAGAGCUCGUAGGUCGUUUGUCGCGUCGAUUGUGAAAAUCUGAGGCUCAUCCUCAGACCUGCAGUCGAUACGGGCAAACUAGAGUGUGGUAGGGGAGACCGGAAUUCCUGGUGUAGCGGUGGAAUGCGCAGAUAUCAGGAGGAACACCAAUGGCGAAGGCAGGUCUCUGGGCCAUAACUGACACUGAGGAGCGAAAGUGCGGGGAGCGAACAGGAUUAGAUACCCUGGUAGUCCGCACCGUAAACGGUGGGCACUAGUUGUGGGAACCUUCCACGGUUUCCGCGACGCAGCAAACGCAUUAAGUGCCCCGCCUGGGGAGUACGAUCGCAAGAUUAAAACUCAAAGGAAUUGACGGGGCCCCGCACAAGCAGCGGAGCAUGCGGCUUAAUUCGACGCAACGCGAAGAAGCUUACCAAGGCUUGACAUAUAGCGAAAAGUGGCAGAGAUGUCAUGUCCGCAAGGGCGCUAUACAGGUGGUGCAUGGA
rnacentral:rRNA from 1 species